AAUUAUUUUUUUUCUGGCCACACCCUCUUCCCACCCCUUAGUGUUUGAUUGAUAGAAGUUCUAAUUCCUAUCAUGUCGGACGCAAGAUCUAAAUCUCACAUACAUGCAGCGUCCCCGUCUUUCCCGCGCCUGCAC